GACGAACGCUGGCGGCGUGCUUAACACAUGCAAGUCGAACGGAAAGGCCCUGCUUUUGUGGGGUGCUCGAGUGGCGAACGGGUGAGUAACACGUGAGUAACCUGCCCUUGACUUUGGGAUAACUUCAGGAAACUGGGGCUAAUACCGGAUAGGAGCUCCUGCUGCAUGGUGGGGGUUGGAAAGUUUCGGCGGUUGGGGAUGGACUCGCGGCUUAUCAGCUUGUUGGUGGGGUAGUGGCUUACCAAGGCUUUGACGGGUAGCCGGCCUGAGAGGGUGACCGGCCACAUUGGGACUGAGGUACGGCCCAGACUCCUCCGGGAGGCAGCAGUGGGGAAUAUUGCACAAUGGGCGGAAGCCUGAUGCAGCAACGCCGCGUGCGGGAUGACGGCCUUCGGGUUGUAAACCGCUUUCGCCUGUGACGAAGCGUGAGUGGCGGUAAUGGGUAAAGAAGCACCGGCUAACUACGUG
rnacentral:rRNA from 1 species